GCAGGUCGGGAUUUGUGACAGUAUUUUCAGCAACGAAUAUUGCACUUGUCCCGGCCUGUUG
rnacentral:pre_miRNA from 1 species